UAUAAAAACCUGCAGCUCCCAGAUAAAGUAGAGGAAUCAGAUGUGCUGCAUCCAACUGCCAGUCCCAUAACUCACACUGUCAGUAUGAAGUCAUUGCUUGUUUUCUUAAUGUUCCUGUCGUGUUUAUCAGGAGUUCACUGUGAUGUACAACUUGCCCAGUCAGAGUCAGUGGUGAUAAAGCCGGGAGGGUCUCACAAACUGUCCUGCACAGCCUCUGGCUUCACAUUCAGUGAUCAUUGGAUGGGCUGGGUUAGACAGGCUCCUGGGAAAGGAUUACAGUGGUUGUCUAAUAUAUAUGAUGCAAGUAACAUAAACUAUGCUGAUGCAGUUAAAGGAAGAUUCACCAUCUCCAAAGACAAUAAUAACAACAAGUUAUAUCUGCAAACAAACAAUCUACAAACUGAAGAUACUGCCGUGUAUUACUGUGCUAGACACACACAGUGA